rnacentral:rRNA from 1 species
UACAGGGGGUGCAAACGUUGCUCGGAAUCAUUGGGCGUAAAGCGCACGUAGGCGGUCUGUUAUGUCGGAUGUGAAAGCCCCUCGGCUCAACUGAGGAAGUGCAUCCGAAACUGGCAGGCUAGAGUACUAAAGAGGGGUCGCGGAAUUCCCCGGUGUAGAGGUGAAAUUCGUAGAUAUCGGGAGGGAAACACCCGGUGGCGA